AUAACACUACUUGGAUGUUUACUAUGACUUGCUAUAAGGAUGAUAUACUUCUCUUUUUCAAUUUAGACUAACUGGUAAAGAAAAACGAGUCGGAAAUUUCGACCUGGUCUGGCACGACGGACCCGUGGCUGCAGAUGAUAUUACUGAAGCGGACUGUGUGCCGUCUCCUGCUUAUCCCACCAACAGCUUUUUAGGUAAUCUUCUUCAUUCCAUCACCCCCAUCGUACCCUUUUGUAUUCAUCUAAAUCAUUCCCCUCUUGCGGCCUCUUGCAGAUUCCUUCCAUGUUCUCGUAGCAAAUUUUCUAUAUUAUCUAUUCUAAUAAAAAUCUCCAAAUCAUCUCAUUCUUGCCUCUACUCAGUUGUGACUAUGCUUUCUAUUGCAGCUGUUCUUUUAACCUCCUCGUUUGUAUGAACGGAGUCAUUCAUUUCUAAUCAAAUGUCCAAACCAUUCUUGCUUUGAGUUCUUUUAACCUCCUCGUUUGUAAGAUAUUUUCGGAGUGACAUUUCUUGAAUCCAUAAAUUUUUUAUCAUUCAUUUCUAAUAAAAUCCCCAAACCAUCUCAUUCUUACUUCUAUUUUCUUGACUAUGCUUUCCAUUCCAGCUCUUUUUCCAACCUCCUCGUUUAUAAGAUGUUCUCGGAAUGAUAUUACUUAAAUCCAUCAAAUUUUCGUUCAUUCAUUUCUAAUGAAAUCUCUAAACCAUCUCAUUCUUACUUCUACUUUCUUGACCAUACUUUCCAUUCCAGCUCUUCUUCCAACCUCCUCAUUUGUAAGAUGUUCUCUCGGAGUGGUAUUCCUUGUAGCCACUGUAACAUUCUUACCUCUGUCUUUCUCCUUCAUUGCCCACUACAUUUUGAGUACAAAACAUAUUAGUCUCUGAUUAGUUACAGUGCGGGUCUCCCAUAUUUCAGGUUGUCUCAACGAUCGUGACAAACAACUCGCACAACUAUACAAAGACAAGCCAGAAAUACCAAAGAACUCUGUCUCAUAGUUGGACAAUCACCACUAUCAUCAACAUAGUCGAACUUUGCGCUCGAUUGCGAUAAACUGGCUUUGCCUUUGGACGCCAUGUUACCGAUGAAGGCGAUGAUAGCCAGGGACAGGAAGCAGUGACCAGUGUGUUUCUUCUAGAAGACUGAACGAACGAGUGAAUUUUCAGGCUAAAUUAUUCAAACUGCAAAAGAGAAUCAUACUUUGAAGACCAAAAUAUAUGUAAAAAUAUCGUUAACAUCGGUAGUUGUUGGCCAUAUUACAUAUAACAAAAUUUUACUGUCUCUAAUAGGGGUAAUCUGCGUAAGUUAUACGCGAGCGCAAAUUUCUACUUGCACUAGCUAGUGGAAUUUUGUUAAAAAAGUUUAUUUUUAAACCUGAAAAUGGAGAUAUAUUCCGAAAUGUUGUAAGUAAUAAAAUGAGCCAGUAUCUGUGA